rnacentral:rRNA from 1 species
AUUGAACGCUGGCGGCAGGCUUAACACAUGCAAGUCGAGCGGUAACAGGGAGCUUGCUCCGCUGACGAGUGGCGAACGGGUGAGCAAUGCGUCGGAACGUGCCGAGUAGUGGGGGAUAACGCAGCGAAAGUUGUGCUAAUACCGCAUACGUACUGAGGUAGAAAGUGGGGGACCUUCGGGCCUCACGCUAUUCGAGCGGCCGACGUCUGAUUAGCUAGUAGGUGAGGUAAAGGCUCACCUAGACGACGAUCAGUAGCGGGUCUGAGAGGAUGAUCCGCCACACUGGGACUGAGACACGGCCCAGACUCCUACGGGAGGCAGCAGUGGGGAAUUUUGGACAAUGGGCGAAAGCCUGAUCCAGCCAUGCCGCGUGUCUGAAGAAGGCCUUCGGGUUGUAAAGGACCUUUGUCGGGGAGGAAAUCCCCAGCGUUAAUACCGCUGGGGGAUGACAGUACCUGAAGAAUAAGCACCGGCUAACUACGUGCCAGCCGCCGCCGUAAAAC